GACGAACGCUGGCGGCGUGCUUAACACAUGCAAGUCGAACGGAAAGGCCCUGCUUUUGUGGGGUGCUCGAGUGGCGAACGGGUGAGUAACACGUGAGUAACCUGCCCUUGACUUUGGGAUAACUUCAGGAAACUGGGGCUAAUACCGGAUAGGAGCUCCUGCUGCAUGGUGGGGGUUGGAAAGUUUCGGCGGUUGGGGAUGGACUCGCGGCUUAUCAGCUUGUUGGUGGGGUAGUGGCUUACCAAGGCUUUGACGGGUAGCCGGCCUGAGAGGGUGACCGGCCACAAUGGGACUGAGAUACGGCCCAGACGCCUACGGGGGGCAGCAGGGGGGAAUAUUGCACAAUGGGCGGAAGCCUAAUGCAGCAACGCCGCGUGCGGGAUGACGGCCUUCGGGUUGUAAACCGCUUUCGCCUGUGACGAAGCGUGAGUGACGGUAAUGGGUAAAGAAGCACCGGCUAACUACGUG
rnacentral:rRNA from 1 species